GUAUUUUGAAUUAUUUUAUUCAUAAUAUUUUUCAGACAAAGAGUUCAAGGAUAAGUUGAUGUUUGGGUCAUCCUCUCCAGAAAAGAGGACAACCUGACAUUGCACACAAGGUGGAUAUGGAUUUAAAAAGUGCCAUAAAACACUUAUUAUGAAUGAUCCUUCCGCAGGUUCACCUACGGAAA
rnacentral:misc_RNA from 1 species